rnacentral:rRNA from 1 species
UGGGGAAUAUUGGACAAUGGGCGCAAGCCUGAUCCAGCCAUGCCGCGUGUGUGAAGAAGGCCUUAUGGUUGUAAAGCACUUUAAGCGAGGAGGAGGCUACUUUAGUUAAUACCUAGAGAUAGUGGACGUUACUCGCAGAAUAAGCACCGGCUAACUCUGUGCCAGCAGCCGCGGUAAUACAGAGGGUGCAAGCGUUAAUCGGAUUUACUGGGCGUAAAGCGCGCGUAGGCGGCUAAUUAAGUCAAAUGUGAAAUCCCGAGCUUAACUUGGGAAUUGCAUCGAUACUGGUUAGCUAGAGUGUGGGAGAGGAUGGUAGAAUUCCAGGUGUAGCGGUGAAAUGCGUAGAGAUCUGGAGGAAUACCGAUGGCGAAGGCAGCCAUCUGGCCUAACACUGACGCUGAGGUGCGAAAGCAUGGGGAGCAAACAGGAUUAGAUACCCUGGUAGUCCAUGCCGUAAACGAUGUCUACUAGCCGUUGGGGCCUUUGAGGCUUUAGUGGCGCAGCUAACGCGAUAAGUAGACCGCCUGGGGAGUACGGUCGCAAGACUAAAACUAAAGGAAUUGACGGGGUCAUAGCUGUUUCCUG